GCAGCUGUAGCUUAGCUGGCUUAAAGCGCCUCCCUGUCACGGAGGAGAUCGCCGGUUCGAAUCCGGUCAGCUGCG
rnacentral:tRNA from 1 species